UUUAUUGAGCUGGUGUUAAUAGGAGGUGAAGAGGGAAGCACAUGUUUUCCAUGGACAGAAGGAUCAAUGCUAAAACAGCAAAAGAAACUUAUGUGAUAAGCUCAGCUGAUAGGCUAACAGACAACAAUUUGGAACAAAAUUGACGUGCAAUUGUGGACCAUACAACGUGUUAAAGAUCUCAACCUUUACGAUACUAUUGAAUAAGAAUGUCUCCUUACUUCGGAUCGAGAGAGAGCUUAGUAUUAAAAGCUAAACCCCGGCCCUCACUCCAUUGAAAACUUUUCCAUCAACGAAAAUAGCUUAAAGCUUAGCCCAGGAACUUUCAUGGUGGGUCCAAAAGACAAUGCCCAAGGGCAUUAAACCUUUUACAGGACCCACAAAAUUUCAAGAUCCCAAUGAUUUUUAUCCUUCAUUUUUUAUUUUCUUUUUGGGCUAUCCUCUCCAAUAUUGAAAGGUUGUGAUUGGUCAAGUUCUUUUUUGCGGGUUUCUAAUUUGUUGUUGGAGAGAAUGAUACCAGAAUUAUCCCUUCAGAUGCUUGGACUUGGGACUCCCUGAGAAGGAUAUUCCUCCAGGAAGAAACAAAUAAUAGCAACUUGCAAGCUGCCAAUAUUUAU
rnacentral:lncRNA from 1 species